AAACCAGCACCUCAAGUGGUCAGGAUGAUUAUUGGGCCUAAAGCAUCCGUAGCCUGCUCUGUAAGUUUUCGGUUAAAUCUGUACGCUCAACGUACAGGCUGUCGGGAAUACUGCAGAGCUAGGGAGUGGGAGAGGUAGACGGUACUCGGGAGGAAGUGGUAAAAUGCUUUGAUCUCUCGAUGACCACCUGUGGCGAAGGCGGUCUACCAGAACACGUCCGACGGUGAGGGAUGAAAGCUGGGGGAGCAAACCGGAUUAGAUACCCGUGUAGUCC
rnacentral:rRNA from 1 species